CGAGCAACUCACAGGUCCACUACUGUACAACCCGCGACUCUACUCGGAAACCCUCUGGCCAGUUCCUUAGAUGUCACCUAGAAUUGUCAUGGUAUCCUAUGACCGGCUGGUCAAACCUCAUGACCAAUUCUAACAUCUCACUAACAGACAAUAUUAUAUAUACAAAUUUUUGUAACAGUAGCAGAUGCUCGCAGCGCCAUUAUUGUGAAAAUCCCUGGAUGGUACCAGCGGGAUUCGAACCCUCAAUCUCGGGAUCUAAAGGC
rnacentral:lncRNA from 1 species